AUGGAAUCUAACUGUAAAGAGAAAUGACAACAUUUUGUGGAGUGAUGAAGGCAAGAUUGUUCUUUUUGGCUCUCAGGGCUGCAGAUCGUUUGUCAGACAACCCCCCAAAACAGAAUUCAAGCUACACAGUGAAGACUAUGGAGCAGGCAUCACGAUAUGGAGAUGUUUCUAAUACUAUUGUGUCAGGCCUAUUUAUUGCAUACGAGGCAUCACUGAUCAGUUUGAAUACAUCAAAAUACUAAGAGGUCAUGUAGCUUUAUGCCAAAGAGGAAAUACCCUUGAAAUGGCUGUUUCAAAAAGACAACAACCCCAAACACACCAGCAAGAGAGCAGCAUCUUGGUUCCAGACCAAGAAGAUUGAUGUUAUG